rnacentral:rRNA from 1 species
CCUCGGAGGCUGCAGUGGGGAAUAUUGGACAAUGGGCGAAAGCCUGAUCCAGCCAUGCCGCGUGUGUGAAGAAGGCCUUCGGGUUGUAAAGCACUUUCAGUGGGGAAGAAAGCCUUGGGGCUAAUACCCUCGAGGAAGGACAUCACCCACAGAAGAAGCACCGGCUAACUCCGUGCCAGCAGCCGCGGUAAUACGGAGGGUGCGAGCGUUAAUCGGAAUUACUGGGCGUAAAGCGCGCGUAGGCGGUCUGAUAAGCCGGUUGUGAAAGCCCCGGGCUCAACCUGGGAACGGCAUCCGGAACUGUCAGGCUAGAGUGCAGGAGAGGAAGGUAGAAUUCCCGGUGUAGCGGUGAAAUGCGUAGAGAUCGGGAGGAAUACCAGUGGCGAAGGCGGCCUUCUGGACUGACACUGACGCUGAGGUGCGAAAGCGUGGGUAGCAAACAGGAUUAGAUACCCCGGUAGUC